UACGUAGGGUGCAAGCGUUAAUCGGAAUUACUGGGCGUAAAGCGUGCGCAGGCGGUUUUGUAAGACAGAGGUGAAAUCCCCCGGGCUCAACCUGGGAAUGGCGAUGAAGACUGCAAGGCUAGAAUCUGGCAGAGGGGGGGUAGAAUUCCACGUGUAGCAGUGAAAUGCGUAGAGAUGUGGAGGAACACCCGACGGCGAAGGCAGCCCCCCUGGGUCAAGAUUGACGCUCAUGCACGAAAGCGUGGGGAGCAAACAGG
rnacentral:rRNA from 1 species